AUGAAAGCACAUGUCCCUCCAUCGACCUUCAGGCCGAUGAUCCUGGAUUGUCCACGACGACGAUGGCGCUCGGACUUCGACUACGAGCAAUUCUCUGCACGAUAAAAUUCACUCGUCUUCGGUCGUGAAACUCAGUCUAGCUUGAUCUUCGGUUAGCGACGAUACACUCCCAGGAUACUAGGAAAUCGGAACACACUUUGUAAGGAUGAUGAGUGCUGGUGGGCUAUUUGGGUUAUUGUGGUUGUGUUCGUGGGUUUUGUGAAAGGGGUGAAGUUUGAUCCAGUGAAGGCAGAGCUUGCGAUGAAAAGCACUUAAUUUUCCUUUUCCUGUCGAUUCAGUGCUUGUGCUUCGGGUUACACCGUAAUAUAUACAACGACGAAAGAGAGUUGGAGAAUUUUCAUACAGCGAGUGAAAAAGUUUUGCUUAUUUCUACACAAGUGAUUCUAUCGAAAGUAUUUCAAGUUCAAUUUGAUCGAUACUGUUGGCAUGUGUUCAAAAAGGAGAAAUCAAAAUAAAUAAUACAAGAUGAGAGUAAAUAGUUCGUCUGUGUUCUGAGAUGUUUUUGUUUUAUGUAGGUCAAACUGGUUUCUCUCUACCGCUCCUCGUGCUAUGGCUUCAACUGAAGAGUGUGUACUUGUUUGGAAACUCCGUGGAGUGUUCUUUCACAACAGCAGUGUUUUCGAAUAUUUACACACACUACUGUCAGCUGAAUGUCAUCACGGCUCGUAGCCUGGAGUAUGUCAGAGAAAUAUUGUGUUUAUUCCAGUAGCCUCCACUGCCACCUCUUUUAGAGCCCUCGAGUGGAAUGAAGUGUAGUUGUAUUCUGCUGUCCAAUAGGCUUGAAUACAGCCUAGAAGCGAUACAGUGCAAACAAAACGAGAAGAAGCCCGUACACAGUCCUGUUGGAUAGCACGUUAGCAUGGUCAUAACCGCUAAAACAACGAUGAUGCAGCAGCCACAGUUUAAAGUGAAUAAUUUACGCAAACUGAAGAAAAUAUGGAAACACUUUUUUCCUAUCAGUGGUGAUACUGAGUGCGCAUGUCCUGAUCAUGACAUCUCAGCAGCAAUCUCAACAGUAGCAGCAGAUGCAACAACAACAACAAAAGGAAUUACAACAGCAGCAAUCACCGACCCUUUUACCAUCAUCGCCGCAGAAACGAGAUUGUGGACGGAAAUGCUAAAACCGAUGUAUCGAAUCGAGGGCAGCCGGGUCAGUUUUGUGGCGAGUCAGAGCAACCGCAAACAUUCAUCCGCGAAACGAAAGCUUUCAAAAUUGUCUUUCACACGGAUCAGGCCUAUAUUUUGCUUUUGGCUUUCGUACCGAGUAGCUGAUGGAAGUGUUCAAUCGAUACGGUUCUCAUCCGGAGCUCUACCCAACCUGUUGAAGAGGUGAUGAGAUCAAGAGGGUGUGACAAUGACAUCGACGACAAGCACUUCGAGCGCAACUGUCGGCUCUAGACCUUUGGGGUACAGCCAAUCCGAGAAUUCAGCUGCGAGGCUAACCAUUCGCAUCAAGCAAUCCAUUCCUAAUGAGCAGAUAUCUGUUAACGGUCAGAGGUUUCCAUUGCUCCUGGAACUCACAGAUGGAAAAACAUCACGACAUAGCACAGCACGCAUGAAUGGAUGACGGUUCAAGACGAACGUGAUAUGUUGCAGCAUUUUGAAUCAAUAUUUACAGAUUGGAGAUUGCAAUUAUAAAACACUAUUACAUUA